rnacentral:rRNA from 1 species
GACGAACGCUGGCGGCGUGCUUAACACAUGCAAGUCGAACGGACAGACAGAGAGCUUGCUCUCUUGAAGUUAGUGGCGAACGGGUGAGUAACGCGUAAUCAACCUGCCCUUCAGAGGGGGAUAACAACGGGAAACCGUUGCUAAUACCGCGUACGAUUCAUGAACGGCAUCGUUUAUGAAUGAAAGGUGGCCUCUAUGUAUAAGCUAUCGCUGAAGGAGGGGAUUGCGUCUGAUUAGCUAGUUGGAGGGGUAACGGCCCACCAAGGCAAUGAUCAGUAGCCGGUCUGAGAGGAUGAACGGCCACAUUGGGACUGAGAAACGGCCCCAACUCCUACGGGAGGGAGCAGUGGGGAAUCUUCCGCAAUGGACGAAAGUCUGACGGAGCAACGCCGCGUGAGUGAUGAAGGUCUUCGGAUUGUAAAGCUCUGUUAAUCGGGACGAAAGAGUUCUGCGUGAAUAAUUCAGAAAAGUGACGGUACCGGAAUAGAAAGCCACGGCUAACUACGUGCCAGCCGCCGCCGUAA